rnacentral:ncRNA from 1 species
GCUUUAAUCUUAUUGUAGGUUAAAAUUAUAUACUUUCAAAGGNNNNUUAAAAGAAAAUAUAUGUAGUAAUUAAUAUUAGGUAAUGGAAACUCAGUACUAGUAAAACCAUAAGAGUCGGCAAAAAUCGUGCUAGCGGCCGCGGUUAGACGAAGGACUCAAAUAAGAUUUAUUGGAAAAUGUAGUAAAUUAAUGAAGUAUCAUUACAGUUACGUUAAAUAACUUAAGGUGAAAUUUAUAAUUAAUGCUUGCAAAAACUGUUGAAUAUUAUUUUAGUCUAUUUAAGUAAAGAUAUAAACUAGGAUUAGAUACCCUACUAUUCUUACCUUUAUAAUGCUAGGGUAGUAAAAGACAAUCUUCAAACCCAAAGAAUUUGACGGCAUCUCAUUCUAAUCAGAGGAACUUGCCCCUUAAUCGAUAAUCCUCGUUAUACCUUUCCUUUUUUUUGUUUGUAUACCGCCGUUGUCAGAUAAUUUUUAGAAAACAUUAUCUAAUAUAAAAGAAACAAUAACUUCAGGUCAAGGUGCAGCUUAUAAAAAGGUGGUGGUGAGUUACAAUAACUAUAAGUUAAACGGACAGUCUAUGAAAUAAUGGCUAGAAGGUGGAUUUGAAAGUAAAAUCAAUUUAGUAAAUUGAUUUGAAAAAAGCUCUGAGAUGUGUACACAUCGCCCGUCGCUCUCCCUAAGAAAGGGAGAUAAGUCGUAA